rnacentral:misc_RNA from 1 species
GGCACCAACGUUAAGAAAUUUAAUUCCCAUAUUAAGAGAAGAUUUGGGGUACGAUGGGAGUCAUGAGCAUUUGCGACAAUUACUUAAAGUAUUAGGUUUCAAGUAUAUGAAAUGCCAGCUGGCCAGCUCAUCUGGGGUAUCGCAAAACGUAAGAUUGCUGCCCAAAACGUAGGGUCGAUUGAUAUAAAGGAAGCAGCAGAACGUGCUUUCGAAGGUAUAACAGAAAGCGACUGGAGAAAAUCUUGCGAGAGCAUUUGGUGGAGAUAGAGAAGUCUUAUUAUCAGCGAGUAUUAACUCUUUACCACGACAUAGAGCAAGUAGUAAUUAAUUUAGAGGAUAGCAGCAGCACUACCUCUGAUUCUGAGUUCGAGG